CGAGCUUGCCUAGAUGAAUUUGGUGCUUGCACCAAAUGAAACUAGAUACAAGCGAGCGGCGGACGGGUGAGUAACACGUGGGUAACCUGCCCAAGAGACUGGGAUAACACCUGGAAACAGAUGCUAAUACCGGAUAACAACACUAGACGCAUGUCUAGAGUUUAAAAGAUGGUUCUGCUAUCACUCUUGGAUGGACCUGCGGUGCAUUAGCUAGUUGGUAAGGUAACGGCUUACCAAGGCAAUGAUGCAUAGCCGAGUUGAGAGACUGAUCGGCCACAUUGGGACUGAGACACGGCCCAAACUCCUACGGGAGGCAGCAGUAGGGAAUCUUCCACAAUGGACGCAAGUCUGAUGGAGCAACGCCGCGUGAGUGAAGAAGGGUUUCGGCUCGUAAAGCUCUGUUGGUAGUGAAGAAAGAUAGAGGUAGUAACUGGCCUUUAUUUGACGGUAAUUACUUAGAAAGUCACGGCUAACUACGUGCCAGCAGCCGCGGUAAUACGUAGGUGGCAAGCGUUGUCCGGAUUUAUUGGGCGUAAAGCGAGUGCAGGCGGUUCAAUAAGUCUGAUGUGAAAGCCUUCGGCUCAAC
rnacentral:rRNA from 1 species